UGACGGUACCUUAGGAGGAAGCCCCGGCUAACUACGUGCCAGCAGCCGCGGUAAUACGUAGGGGGCGAGCGUUGUCCGGAAUGACUGGGCGUAAAGGGCGUGUAGGCGGCCUGUUAAGUUAGGAGUGAAAGUCCCGCUUUCAAGGUGGGAACUGCUUUUAAUACUGAUGGGCUUGAGUGCAGAAGAGGUAAGUGGAAUUCCCAGUGUAGCGGUGAAAUGCGUAGAGAUUGGGAGGAACACCAGUGGCGAAGGCGACUUACUGGGCUGUAACUGACGCUGAGGCGCGAAAGCGUGGGGAGCAAACAGGAUUAGAUACCCUG
rnacentral:rRNA from 1 species